rnacentral:lncRNA from 1 species
UCUAUGCUGCUAAUUGAUUAAUAAAUGCUACUAAAAAGUUUAGCAGCAUAUGACACCAAAUGCUGUCUAUACCAAUGUAAAGUAUUAGCAACAUUUAUAAUAAAUACCGCCAAUAUAAAUUAAUUAGUGUCAUUAGGAGCAUGCCACUAAAAGGGAUUAAAUGCUAAUUUUAAGUUAUUUAUUAGUUGCACAUAAAUAUAAUGCCGCUAAUAUAAAUAUCUGAUUUUACGAACUGAAAUUUUAAAAUUUUAAUUUUAUUUUAACUUCUUUUAGAAAUAAAUUUAGCUGAAAUGUGAAUCAAUUAGGAUUUGAACUUGAGACCUCAGCUACCAACCACCAAGCCAUUUGCUACUUGCGCUAACUACUAUCAGUUAUAUAUAUUUUAGUUUUUUAAAUUUUAAGUCUUCAAUUUUAAAAUUUUAAAAUUUAAAAUUUAGAUACUAAAUUUAAAUUUUUAAUUUUUAAAUAUCAAAUUUUAAGUUUCAAAAUUUAUAGUUUUAAAUUUGAAAUUUUAAAUUUAAAAUAAAUUUAAAAAUUUAAAAGUUAAAAAUUAAAAAUUAAAAAUUUUAGAGUUUAAAAUUUAAAAUAUAAAUUUUAAAAUUUUAAAUUUUAAGUUAUAAGUUUAAUUUUUAAAAUUAUAAGUCUCGAGUUUUAAACUUUAAUUUUAAAAUUUUUAAUUCUAAGUAAAAAUGGAUAUAUUAAUAAUUAUAUAUUGAUUAGUAAUGAUAUUUAGUAACAAGUGCUGCUAGUUUAUUAUAUUUAGCGGCAUUCACUAAUUUACGUCGCUAAUUUAUUCUAUUCUGCAACAUUAAUAGUAAAUUCCUGCUAAAUAAUUAAAUUUAGCGACAAUUAUCUAGUAAUAUUGUUAAAUAUAUUAAUUAGCAUGAUUUAAAUAAAUGUUGCGGAACAAAUAUGGUGGCAUUUAGUAAUAAGUGCUGCUACUUUAUUAUAUUUAGUGUCAUUUUUAUAAAAUGCUGAAAAUUUCAGCGGCAUUUACUAAUUUAUACCGCUAAUUUAUCCUAUUUUGCAAUAUUAAUUAGUAAAUUGCUGCUAAAUUAUUAAAUCUAGCGGCACUUAUCAAGUAAAAUUGUUAAGUAUAUUAAUUAGCGUUAUUUAAAUAAAUGUUGCGGAGUAAAUGUCGCUAAAUUAUGAAUUUAAUUGAACACAUUUUUGCCAUUA